rnacentral:rRNA from 1 species
UACAUGGGGUGCAAACGUUGCUCGGAAUUAUUGGGCGUAAAGCGCACGUAGGCGGUUCGUUAAGUCGGAUGUGAAAGCCCUCGGCUCAACUGAGGAAGUGCACCCGAAACUGGCGAGCUUGAGUACGAAAGAGGAUCGCGGAAUUCCCGGUGUAGAGGUGAAAUUCGUAGAUAUCGGGAGGAACACCGGUGGCGAAGGCGGCGAUCUGGGUCGAUACUGACGCUGAGGCGCGAAAGCUAGGGGAGCAAACAGGG